CCUACGGGAGGCAGCAGUGAGGAAUAUUGGUCAAUGGGCUUACGCCUGAACCAGCCAAGUCGCGUGAGGGAAGACUGCCCUAUGGGUUGUAAACCUCUUUUGUCAGGGAGCAACGCCGGCUACGUGUAGCCGGACUGAGAGUACCUGAAGAAAAAGCAUCGGCUACCUCCGUGCCAGCAGCCGCGGUAAUCCGAGGGAUGCGAGCGUUAUCCGGAUUGAUUGGGUUUAAAGGGUGCGUAGGCGGAAUGCCAAGUCAGCGGUAAAAUCGCGGGGCUCAACCUCGCUCCGCCGUUGAAACUGGCGUUCUUGAGUGGGCGAGAAGUAUGCGGAAUGCGUGGUGUAGCGGUGAAAUGCAUAGAUAUCACGAAGAACUCCGAUUGCGAAGGCAGCAUACCGGCGCCCAACUGACGCUGAAGCACGAAAGCGUGGGUAUCGAACAGGAUUACAUACCCUUGUAGUC
rnacentral:rRNA from 1 species